rnacentral:lncRNA from 1 species
AUGAGCUCUCUUCACAAGGAGAUUUUCCUUUCUGGAAACAUGCCGGUGUCAGAAGAGGGCUUUGCUCCCGUGCCCCUGGCCGCCGUGCCCGAGGAGCCCCGGCACACGGACUUCCAGCUGGUGCGAGUCAAGAGCACGUGGUGCAGGAUCAAGAAAGGAGAAGCCCUUUCCGACUGUGAGGACAAGAUAACUCUCUCUGAAGCCAAAAUAGGUGAAUGUGUCUCCAAAAGUGGGAUUUCCUGGACAAUCGAAGCUCCCAUCUAUUUUUGCUACAAAGUGGUAGAAACGUACGAUAUUCUGGAUCCCUCUAACACCACUCUCCUCUGGGGUCACAUCACUGACCCCCAGCAGCUCGAGCUAGCCACUAGCGGUAAAAAGAGGCUGAGGCGCUUCAUUGUCAUAGAUGAAGUCGUUGAUGAACUUUAUGGCUCCAAAGUCAGGCAGUUCUUUGAAGAGAAUGACGUUCAGCACAAAAUCCUCGCCCUGCCAACCACCGAAGAAACGAAAUCCAUGGACCUGGUCUUGAACAUCCUGCAAGAAGUGCAGAACUUCAGCAUCGACAGGCGAACAGAGCCCAUCAUUGCCAUCGGAGGCGGCGUCUGCCUGGACAUCGUGGGACUGGCGGCGUCCCUCUACAGGAGACGCACGCCUUACAUUCGUGUCCCAACCACCCUCCUCUCCUACGUUGACGCCAGCGUGGGAGCAAAGAACGGGGUGAAUUUCCUCCAGUGCAAGAACAAGCUCGGGGGCUACACUCCCCCCGUAGCUAGUUUCCUGGACAGGUCCUUCAUUCAGAGCAUCCCUCGGCGACACAUCUCCAACGGCCUUGGCGAAAUUUUAAAGAUGGCACUCAUGAAACACAAAGGGCUCUUUGACCUGCUCAAGAGCCACGGGAAAUACCUGCUGGACACCAAGUUCCAGUCUUGCAGUGGCCCUGCUGACCACGGCGAUGCUGCACUGCAAACCACCAGGAUUGCCAUCGAAACCAUGCUGGAAGAGCUGGCUCCCAACCUCUGGGAGGACGACCUGGACAGACUGGUGGAUUUUGGUCACCUUAUAAGCCCAGAACUGGAAAUGAGGGUUUUGCCGUCGCUGAUGCACGGCGAAGCCGUGAACAUAGACAUGGCCUUCAUGACGUACGUGGCCCAUGCGCGGGGGCUCCUCAGCGCCGGCGAGAAGGAGCAGAUCAUCCAGUGCAUGCGGGGCCUGGAGCUGCCCAUCUGGCACGGCGGCUGCAGCUGGGCCCUCAUCAAGACAGCCCUGAGGGAGCGCCUGAAGCACAGCGGGGGGCUGCCCCGCAUGCCGCUGCCCACCGGCCUUGGCGUGGCAGACAUUUUCAAUGACACCAGCGAGGAGACCCUGGAAAGAGCGUACGAGCUGUGGGUCAGGGACUGCAGGACGGCACUGGAGGAAGGGCCAGCUGCCCUCUGA